GGGCUCGAGGGAGAUGGCGCCGCGCUCCCGGAUGAACAGAGAAAGCGACAGGACGCCCUUGCAUACAUUAAGAUACGUAUAUAUGGAAAUGUUAGCGGGAGUCCCGGUUAUCCCAAAAAGGGUUCUUUCCUGUUGUGUGGUGAGGCCAAUGCACGAAACCGAAAGGGUGUGUCAAGCAGUGCAGGCUUUAUUCAAUGGCUAUGGAAUUGGAAGAUCUGAAAUCAACUUAACUUGUGAGAGCUGGGAAGUUACAGACGUAGGGUGUCUUUAAUGAAGGGGCUGGGCAUUAAGAGCAAGGGGGGGGAAUAUUCAUGCUUUUCUUGGGAAAGAACGGAGAUUUUCCUGGAAUCAAGGAACCCCUUUUUUUCUGUCCCUUCUUGGUCUCUUCCAGUCGUUGUCAUGGCGACUGUCAAUUGUCAUGGCGCUGGUGGGAGUGUCGCUUAGCAGGAGAACAGGAUGAUAAUAAAGCCAGAGGGUCUUCAGAGGCGCCAUCUUGGAUUUCGCCAGCUUCAGCUGGUUUCGUCCUAAGAAGGAACUCCAAAACACAGGCAUUCUUUUUCCUGAAAAUAAGCAGAGUUAAAGCUGAGUAGGAAUUUAGCUCUGUCCCAUAUGCUAUCUCACUGGGCAGCAAAAGCAGGGUGGGGUCCAGCGAAAUCAGCAGGCACUGCAAUGGGUAACAGACCCAGCUACAUUUAUGCAGCAUUUUUACAAAAAUGAAACCAUACUACCUGUAAAGGAAGAUAUGCUAACAAACAACAAAACUAGCAGGAACCAAGAUUCCUACUGACGCUACCCUUAAAUAGUU
rnacentral:lncRNA from 1 species